rnacentral:rRNA from 1 species
GACGAACGCUGGCGGCGUGCCUAACACAUGCAAGUCGAACGAAGUGGCGAACGGGUGAGUAACGCGUAAUCAACCUGCCCUUCAGAGGGGGACAACAGUUGGAAACGACUGCUAAUCCCGCAUACUGAAGGAGGGGAUUGCGUUUGAUUAGCUCGCUGGAGGGGUAACGGCCCACCAAGGCGAUGAUCAGUAGCCGGUCUGGGAGGAGGAACGGCCACAAUGGGACUGAGACACGGCCCAGGCUCCUACGGGAGGCAGCAGUGGGGGAUCUUCCGCAAUGGACGAAAGUCUGACGGAACAACGCCGCGUGAGUGGUGACGGCCUUCGGGUUGUAAAGCUCUGUUAAUCGGGGCGCGGUACCGGAAUAGAAAGCCACGGCUAACUACGUGCCAGCAGCCGCGGUAAUUC